rfam:Peptococcaceae bacterium CEB3 CEB3_contig000055, whole genome shotgun sequence.
GUCAACUACCCCCACUUAACGCAUUAAUCGGCGUUUGAAGUGGGGGCUUGGGGAAACGUGUAAGCCAGGCUUAUACGCCCUCAAGCCCGGUUGAUUAGCCUCAGUGGUCGGGAUGUUUACCGAAAGGGGACAGCGAACCAUUACGUUAAGCCGGAAUAGAUAGGCACCCUGGGAUCCUCCACACGUCCCAGGCUCUGCGGUGAGUGUUUAAACAUCUCUGAUGGGUAGGAGAAGUGAUGCUCACACACAAACCCGGCAUUAACAUUGGCAAUGUGGACCCAC